GCCUUCCAAGUACUAGAUCAAUAGGGAGUGCAACUUGUCGACCAAAGACCAUGUCAUUUGGGCUCACCCCCGUGGUUUCGUGUACCGAGGAUCUAUAUGCCAACAUGAGUAAAGGAUCUUGAGAAGUAGAUGUCAAAGCAGUGUUGUGAUUCCCCGAUCGGGUGACGACCUGGCAUGAUUCAGAUUGAUGGGUCACUGAUGCCUGUUUGGGAGAAGAUGAAACAUGGUCAUCUCUGGAUAAUCUGGGUGAUCCCAUACAAGAUCUCGGAUUAAAAACAAUUUCUCCAGAGUCUUCUAAGUUGCCGUUAUUUUGGGACAUUUUUCUUUUAAAUAAUUCUUUUACAAAAAAGCGUUCAA